UACGUAGGGUGCAAGCGUUGUCCGGAAUUAUUGGGCGUAAAGGGCGCGUAGGCGGCUCCGUACGUCCCGCGUGAAAGCUCCCGGCUCACCUGGGAGAGGUCGCGGGAUACGGCGGGGCUCGAGCACGGUAGGGGGCCAUGGAAUUCCCGGUGUAGUGGUGGAAUGCGUAGAGAUCGGGAGGAACACCAGUGGCGAAGGCGGUGGCCUGAACCGAUGCUGACGCUGAGGCGCGAAAGCGUGGGGAGCGAUCCGG
rnacentral:rRNA from 1 species